rnacentral:tRNA from 1 species
CUAAGGAUGGUUCUUCAGAAGCUUGCUUCUAUCGAACCGUUUUAGAAACAUCAGUGGCCAACGGUCGUCAGGAUCGUUGAGCUGCAUUGGCGGGAUUUCGCCGUCUUCGUUUCUCUUUCUUCGCGGACGAACACGCGCUGGGGCUGCAACCUUGCAGAAUCCCUGGUCCUUGACUGGAUAUGCGUUAGGGGCUUGUAGCUCAGUUGGUUAGAGCGCGCGCUUGAUAAGCGUGAGGUCGGAAGUUCAAGUCUUCCCAGGCCCACCACACUCAUCGAGUGAGCAUUCGUCUUCUGGUUACGGGGCCAUAGCUCAGCUGGGAGAGCGCGUGCUUUGCAAGCAUGAGGUCGUCGGUUCGAUCCCGUCUGGCUCCACCAGAUGGUUUGAUCACCGACUACUCAUACCGUCGUCCGCGAAACAUCACUUCGCACUUACUAGUCCGGAUGGACAGUAAGCUGCGUGAUUUCUGACAUCGUAAAGAGGAGAUCGAUCCGAGUUGGAUCGGGCAACAAGCAAUUGUUGCGCGAUACUUCAUUAUCUCCGGAUCAUUUCGGCGCUCGUGCGUCUUCCAGGGUAGCUCACAAGGCUGCAUUGAAAGACGAGCGAGUUGUAAAUGAUCCUUUUAGCGAAGCUUGACCGCCUCGCUAUCGGAACGAUCUUACGAAGCAAGCUGGUCUUUCUAAUCAUUGUCCGGCUGCAGAUAGCGUUCAUCGAGGGCGCGUGCCGCAAGGUAAUUCUGCAGACAACAUUCUGCCGAGUGUGUGGACAUUGAUAAUGAGAGC